rnacentral:rRNA from 1 species
UACAGAGGGUGCAAGCGUUAAUCGGAAUUACUGGGCGUAAAGCGUGCGUAGACGGUUGCGUAAGUCAGGAGUGAAAGUUUGCGGCUCAACCGUAAAAUUGCUUUUGAUACUGCAUGGCUAGAAUUAGGAUGAGGUCAGCGGAAUGUGGCAUGUAGCGGUGAAAUGCAUAGAUAUGCCAUAGAACACCAAUUGCGAAGGCAGCUGGCUAGACCUGUAUUGACGCUGAGGCACGAAAGCGUGGGGAGCGAACAGG